rnacentral:rRNA from 2 species
UUGACCUCGGAUCAGGUAGGGAUACCCGCUGAACUUAAGCAUAUCAAUAAGCGGAGGG